UACGAAGGGGGCUAGCGUUGCUCGGAAUCACUGGGCGUAAAGCGCACGUAGGCGGAUUGUUAAGUCAGGGGUGAAAUCCUGGAGCUCAACUCCGGAACUGCCUUCGAUACUGCGGGUCUCGAGUCCGGGAGAGGUGAGUGGAAUUCCUAGUGUAGAGGUGAAAUUCGUAGAUAUUAGGAAGAACACCAGUGGCGAAGGCGGCUCACUGGCCCGGUACUGACGCUGAGGCGCGAAAGCGUGGGGAGCAAACAGG
rnacentral:rRNA from 1 species